rnacentral:rRNA from 1 species
UACGUAGGGGGCAAGCGUUGUCCGGAAUCAUUGGGCGUAAAGCGCGUGUAGGCGGCUCGGUAAGUCUGAUGUGAAAGCCCACGGCUCAACCGUGGAGGGUCAUUGGAAACUGGGGGACUUGAGUGCAGAAGAGGAAAGCGGAAUUCCACGUGUAGCGGUGAAAUGCGUAGAGAUGUGGAGGAACACCAGUGGCGAAGGCGGCUUUCUGGUCUGUAACUGACGCUGAGGCGCGAAAGCGUGGGGAGCAAACAGG